rnacentral:rRNA from 1 species
AACGAACGCUGGCGGCAGGCCUAACACAUGCAAGUCGAGCGAGGACUUCGGUCCUAGCGGCGGACGGGGGAGUAACGCGUGGGAACGUGCCAUUUGCUUCGGAAUAGGCCUGGGAAACUGGGAGUAAUACCGGAUGGGCCCUUUGGGGGAAAGAUUUAUCGGCGAAGGAUCGGCCCGCGGUGGAUUAGGUAGUUGGUGGGGUGAUGGAGUGCCAAGGCGACGUUCCAUGGCUGGUUUGAGAGGAUGACAGGUCACACUGGGAGUGCGAUCCGGCCCAGACUCCGACGGGGCGCAGACGCGUGGAAUAGGGCGCAAUGGGCGAAAGUCUGAUGCAGCGGCGCCGCGUGAGGGGUGGAGGCCUGUGGGUUGUGAACCUCUUACGCCCGUGGUGAAGCCGCGACGUGGGACGUGGUGAGGGUAGUGGGUAAAGAAGCGCCGGCUAACUACGUG